rnacentral:rRNA from 1 species
AUUGAACGCUGGCGGCAUGCCUUACACAUGCAAGUCGAACGGCAGCACGGGAGCAAUCCUGGUGGCGAGUGGCGAACGGGUGAGUAAAGUAUCGGAACGUGCCCAGUCGUGGGGGAUAACGUAGCGAAAGUUACGCUAAUACCGCAUACGAUCUAUGGAUGAAAGCGGGGGAUCGCAAGACCUCGCGCGAUUGAAGCGGCCGAUAUCAGGUUAGGUAGUUGGUGGGGUAAAGGCUCACCAAGCCGACGAUCUGUAGCUGGUCUGAGAGGACGACCAGCCACACUGGGACUGAGACACGGCCCAGACUCCUACGGGAGGCAGCAGUGGGGAAUUUUGGACAAUGGGCGAAAGCCUGAUCCAGCCAUGCCGCGUGCAGGAUGAAGGCCCUCGGGUUGUAAACUGCUUUUGUACGGAACGAAAAGGUUUGGCCUAAUAAGCAGAGCUCAUGACGGUACCGUAAGAAUAAGCACCGGCUAACUACGUGCCAGCCGCCGCAGUAA